rnacentral:lncRNA from 1 species
AACAGAAUUCCGUGGAGGGAUUAUGAGUCACAUCUACUGUUUGGCCACCUGAACUAAUGGCUGUAGAUGGUCGCUUCCUUAAAAAUACUUUAAACCAGUGUUUCCAGUGAAUGUUGUCCAUGAGCAACACUUGUUUGUGAUUAGGUGGUUUUCCACUCAGAUUAACUUAGAGAUCCAAGGAUCUGUAUAUGAGAUUGGACUGGUUGAGGCCAUUUUCUUUCUAGUGGAAAAUCGUAUACAAUGGUACCUCGGUUCACAACUUGAUUCACCACCAUGAUUCUAGUAGCAAACCAAGUUGGAUGAGAACUGAAUCAAAUUCUGUGGUUUGUGACCAGAAUCGUGGAGAGAAUCAAGUUCGUGAACCAAGGCACCACUGUAAUCAAACCAACAGUAGCUCAUUGUUUGAUUCUGGAAAAUACAGAGGAUAGAAACAGUCAGACAGCUCCUCCAUUCAGGAAUUUCUCUUGAUGCAUUGUGACUGCUGCAAACUCAGAGAUAACAGAGUGUAAUGAGUGUGCAGCACUCAGGGAGCAAACACCACUGAGCUGCUUAGUUUGACUGCAGCCCUGCACCCCAGUCCGGUUCCACAUCCGGGUGUUCUGCCCGCUCCCCAUGAGGCAUCUCAGAGUGGGACAUGCAGGAAACAGCAUCCUGAGCCGGGAGCUCUUUAAGAAGCCAUGCAGAUCUGUACGGCGAGUCCUCUCCUCUUACCCCGUGAUUGCCGACCUCCAGUUUAAAUGACCAUGUGCUCUAGCUGGAGACAGAUGGGGCCACUGGGGCUGCUGUGAGUCAUGGAGCCUGGCAUCUGAGAGCCAGGGGGUUCCAGGACCAGCUGAGAUUACAGGCGGCCUCAGAGCCAGUGACUGAG